UCAGAUACAUGUACGUGAUCAAGCAGCAUCAGUGUACAGUCGUUUAUGAGCUAUCCCUCUCCAUACCUAUUCUGAAGGAUGCUGGGGUUGAUGGUCACCAGGCUUGUCUUUGUUCCUAUAUCUUCAGAGAAGUUCAUGGGAGGCAGGUUGAACCUGGAUCAUUUAUGGAGAGAGAAUGAAUGGAAGCUUCAAUGGAAUUGCUGCGUCCCAGAGUCCAUAACAGGCAUGGGCAAACACUGGCCCACAAUUCCUAACAGCCGGUGUUGUAGUCCAGCCUAUAAUAGUGUCUGAUGUGUCUGAUGUCAAUGAGGUUUCUGGGUCUGUGUCUGAUCGCAAUGGGGAUGAUGAGGUAAUUGAUAGGCCUGCCUUUGGGCUGAGGUUUCUGCAGAACACAGGGACUAUGCGCAAGGCCACAUUCCUGAGAGAGGCCUUCCACAGAUUUUCUCUUAGAAUUGGUUUUCUGAGGAGGAUUUGUCAGAUGCAGAUGUAGAAGUUAAUGAGCUUGAAGAUAGACAACAAGACUUUUGUAAAUAAAGAGAAAGUUCACAGGUCCUUUGAAGGUCAGCCUGUCUUCAGGAAAAGAGGGAAGGUAAAGUGUCAUCUGGUGGGAAAGUGAAACGGAUUGUGUUCUUCUCGCUGAAUGAAGCAGGAAAGGUUUUUAAAAAAGAGAUAAGAUGAAGCUUUUGAACUCAGAGUAGUCAACAUCCAUUAUUCAUGCCAAUCUUCCCAAGUUUCUGCUCUGUGAUUCCAAGUGGAUUUCUAGUUUCAUGGUUCCUGUCUUGCCAAGUUCCUGUUCUGUGAUUUCAAGUGGUUUCCUAAUUCUGUGGUUCCAGUUUUGCUAAGAUCGUAUUUUGAAUACUGGGAUUUUACGCUGCCUUGUGUUUCUGGAUUUUGCAACCUUGUACUUUGUGCUUUAUGCUUGUACCUUGGAAGUUAUGGCCUAAUAGUUACAUUUUGUAGCUACCUUUUUGGACUAUACUUUUGUAUCAUUUUUAUUGCUUGGCAUUUAUAUAUUCUUCAAUAAACUGCUUGCUGAUCAUACCCAACUGGUGAGGUGUUUUAAGGUCAGAGGAGUAUCAGCUCUGGGAUACAAUAGCCGGUAGGAAUUGUGGGAGCUGAAGCCCAAAACACCCAGAGGGACAAAGUUUGCCCAUACCUGGUCUAGA